CCUACGGGUGGCAGCAGUGGGGAAUAUUGGACAAUGGGGGCAACCCUGAUCCAGCCAUGCCGCGUGUGUGAAGAAGGCCCUCGGGUUGUAAAGCACUUUCAGUGAGGAAGAACGCCUGGUGGUGAAUACCCAUCAGGAAAGACAUCACUCACAGAAGAAGCACCGGCUAACUCCGUGCCAGCAGCCGCGGUAAUACGGAGGGUGCGAGCGUUAAUCGGAAUUACUGGGCGUAAAGCGCGCGUAGGUGGCUUGAUAAGCCGGUUGUGAAAGCCCCGGGCUCAACCUGGGAACGGCAUCCGGAACUGUCAAGCUAGAGUGCAGGAGAGGAAGGUAGAAUUCCCGGUGUAGCGGUGAAAUGCGUAGAGAUCGGGAGGAAUACCAGUGGCGAAGGCGGCCUUCUGGACUGACACUGACACUGAGGUGCGAAAGCGUGGGUAGCAAACAGGAUUAGAUACCCCGGUAGUC
rnacentral:rRNA from 1 species